GACGUAGGGGGCAAGCGUUGUUCGGAAUUAUUGGGCGUAAAGCGCUCGUAGCCGGGACUGGAAGUCCGUGUUGAAAGACCUCGGCUCAACUGAGGGACCGGCUCGGAUACUCUAGUUCUUGAGGCAAUCAGAGGGUGAUGGAAUUCCCGGUGUAGCGGUGAAAUGCGCAGAUAUCGGGAAGAACACCCGUGGCGAAGGCGGCACUCUGGGACGGUACUGACGCUGAGACGCGAAAGCGUGGGGAGCGAACAGG
rnacentral:rRNA from 1 species